rfam:Canis lupus familiaris chromosome 18, whole genome shotgun sequence.
CGGGGGAGGCCGGAUCCUGGGCUGUGUCCCGGCGCCCUGUGCUCCAGAGCCUGCGCUGGUGGAUUCGCGCUUCCGGGCCGCGCAGCCCCCU